rnacentral:tRNA from 1 species
GGUGGCUCAAUGGUAGAGCGCUUGCCUUGUAUGCAUGGGCCCUGGGUUCAAUUCCUCAGCACCA